GAUCAUUACAAGUUGACCCCGGCCCUCGGGCCGGGAUGUUCACAACCCUUUGUUGUCCGACUCUGUUGCCUCCGGGGCGACCCUGCCUCCGGGCGGGGGCCCCGGGUGGACAUUUCAAACUCUUGCGUAACUUUGCAGUCUGAGUAAAUUUAAUUAAUAAAUUAAAACUUUCAACAACGGAUCUCUUGGUUCUGGCAUCGAUGAAGAACGCAGCGAAAUGCGAUAAGUAAUGUGAAUUGCAGAAUUCAGUGAAUCAUCGAAUCUUUGAACGCACAUUGCGCCCCCUGGUAUUCCGGGGGGCAUGCCUGUUCGAGCGUCAUUUCACCACUCAAGCCUCGCUUGGUAUUGGGCGACGCGGUCCGCCGCGCGCCUCAAAUCGACCGGCUGGGUCUUUCGUCCCCUCAGCGUUGUGGAAACUAUUCGCUAAAGGGUGCCGCGGGAGGCCACGCCGCAAAACAACCCCAUUUCUAAGGUUGACCUAGGAUCAGGUAGGGAUACCCGCUGAACUUAAGCAUAUCAAUAAGCGGAGGAAAGGGCGAAUU
rnacentral:rRNA from 1 species